GGGGGUAAUUGGUAUCGACUAGGUGAACUAGCGGUUGAGAAGCGAGGAGACGUACCCAGGUUACUAGUCUAUAAACAGUACCUGGAAAACUCACUUGCCAAGAGCAACGUGAUCCGGGGUGUGUUCAGCCGCAAGGCUGCGCCCGCCCUCCUCGCGGCCUAAUCCCCCGCGACUGCAAAUACGAGACUUUCGUCGAUCGUAGGCGCAGCCAAUAGACGGAUGCUGUAGGUUUCGGGCUACCAGGAACCUAAGUAAGCACUAUAGGUAGUUGCGUUUCCAUACGCCUUGUUCCUUGAGCGUAUGGAGACAAAGAACCAUCAAGUAACUAUCCUCGUAGAAGGCUUCCCUUAGUCAUUCUAGGACGGGGGUUCGAUUCCCC
rnacentral:tmRNA from 1 species